AGGAUGAACGCUGGCGGCGUGCCUAAUACAUGCAAGUCGAGCGGUAAGGCUCCUACUCUGUACUUAAUUUUUGAGUAUGGGGUUGGAGUACACGAGCGGCGGACGGCUGAGUAACACGUAGGAACGUACCCCAAACUGAGGGAUAAGCACCAGAAAUGGUGUCUAAUACCGCAUGUGAUCUUCGGAUUAAAGCUUCGGCGGUUUGGGAACGGCCUGCGCAUGAUUAGCUUGUUGGUGAGGUAAAAGCUCACCAAGGCGACGAUCAUUAGCUGGUCUGAGAGGAUGACCAGCCAGACUGGAACUGAGAACGGUCCAGACUCCUACGGGAGGCAGCAGUAGGGAAUUUUCCACAAUGGACGAAAGUCUGAUGGAGCAACGCCGCGUGCAGGAUGAAGGCCCUCGGGUCGUAAACUGCUUUUACGAGUGACGAUAUGACGGUAGCUCGUGAAUAAGGAUCGGCUAACUCCGUGCCAGCACGCCGCGGUAA
rnacentral:rRNA from 1 species